UCCUACGGGAGGCAGCAGUAGGGAAUCUUCCGCAAUGGACGAAAGUCUGACGGAGCAACGCCGCGUGAGUGAUGAAGGCUUUCGGGUCGUAAAACUCUGUUGUUAGGGAAGAACAAGUGCUAGUUGAAUAAGCUGGCACCUUGACGGUACCUAACCAGAAAGCCACGGCUAACUACGUGCCAGCAGCCGCGGUAAUACGUAGGUGGCAAGCGUUAUCCGGAAUUAUUGGGCGUAAAGCGCGCGCAGGUGGUUUCUUAAGUCUGAUGUGAAAGCCCACGGCUCAACCGUGGAGGGUCAUUGGAAACUGGGAGACUUGAGUGCAGAAGAGGAAAGUGGAAUUCCAUGUGUAGCGGUGAAAUGCGUAGAGAUAUGGAGGAACACCAGUGGCGAAGGCGACUUUCUGGUCUGUAACUGACACUGAGGCGCGAAAGCGUGGGGAGCAAACAGGAUUAGAUACCCUGGUAGUCCACGCCGUAAACGAUGAGUGCUAAGUGUUAGGGGGUUUCCGCCCCUUAGUGCUGCAGCUAACGCAUUAAGCACUCCGCCUGGGGAGUACGGUCGCAAGACUGAAACUCAAAGGAAUUGACGGA
rnacentral:rRNA from 1 species